rnacentral:rRNA from 1 species
GACGAACGCUGGCGGCGCGCCUAACACAUGCAAGUCGAACGAGCGAGAGAGAGCUUGCUUUCUCGAGCGAGUGGCGAACGGGUGAGUAACGCGUGAGGAACCUGCCUCAAAGAGGGGGACAACAGUUGGAAACGACUGCUAAUACCGCAUAAGCCCACGGCUCGGCAUCGAGCAGGGGGAAAAGGAGCAAUCCGCUUUGAGAUGGCCUCGCGUCCGAUUAGCUAGUUGGUGGGGUAACGGCCCACCAAGGCGACGAUCGGUAGCCGGACUGAGAGGUUGAACGGCCACAUUGGAACUGAGACACGGCCCAGACUCCUACGGGAGGCAGCAGUGGGGAAUAUUGCACAAUGGGGGAAACCCUGAUGCAGCGACGCCGCGUGGAGGAAGAAGGUCUUCGGAUUGUAAACUCCUGUUGUUGGGGAAGAUAAUGACGGUACCCAACAAGGAAGUGACGGCUAACUACGU